ensembl:lncRNA
ACAGUGAACCCCUCAGCUGUGGAAAGCAGCUCAUUGGGUGCAGCUUAAGCUUCCUUUAAUGCAGAGUGGGCAAAGUCAAUCACUCCUUAAUCUGGUUAGGGCUCGGGUAUAUUGACAACUAUGCCAAAAGGGGUAGGAUCCUCUGCAUGUUACUUGAUGCAUUCAUAAAUGCAGGAAACCGAAACUAGUCCACUGAGGUUUUCAUGCCUGUCUUAAAGGACGCUUUGAGUUACAUAUCGUUAAGAGUGUGCUGAGAGGUAUUUCAGUGGACUGUGACCUUGCCUGCACUGAAGAACUGGUUCUUUCCAAGGUGUGACUGCUCUACCUGGCACUUCUCUGGUGGGCCAAUCUCCAAAUGGUCAGAAACUGAAUGGAGACGGUGCCGCACAAACAAGCUUUGGCUCAUCAAGUGGCUCCUCAGCAACAGCAGAUGAUACUAAUGGACACAAUGGACGAGACUCUCAAGCCUUGCCCUCUGGCUCCAGUUCACAUGAUUCAAGUCUGUCCGGACAAGGUGGGUCCACGUCAGGAGCAGUAUCUACAGGCGCAGUCAUAAGUGCAGUUGGUCACGGGAGCUCAAAGGUCCCCGGUACAGCUGGGACAACUCACUCAGACACUAUUUCUCAUGGGUCCCCAAGCCAAGUUUCAUUGAGCCAUGCGUUGCCAGGCCAAGUGUCAU